GAUUCCCUGCCGUGCUCGUGAUGCAUCAACCGUUCUUGAACCAUUAAGCACGUUCAAGGGGGCGCGGGUGGCCGGCGACGUCGCGCCGGGGGCGGUCUGCCCCGGAGGACCGACCCGGUCGAAGCGCUCCCACCUGGAUCUCCAGGUCUCAAGAACGCCAAUGCACACGGCAUUUCGGCGGGGAUCAU
rnacentral:other from 1 species